UGGAGCUAGAUCAGAGUGUCUCCAAAUCCCAGAGAGAGUUCAGAUCCAGGGCUGCUCCCAGGCCUGACUGUUCCACAGCUGGAUCUCAGAUACAUCUCUGAAACUCCUGCCAUUAACAAAGAUUUUCUUGCUGAUGGCUACAAACACCUAGAAACUCCAGCAGCAUCAGCAAAG
rnacentral:lncRNA from 12 species